rfam:Pleurotus ostreatus PC15 unplaced genomic scaffold scaffold_07, whole genome shotgun sequence.
GGCCGCCUGGCGAAAUGGCAUCGCGUCUGACUACGAUUAGUUGUGAUCAGGAGAUUGCAGGUUCGACCCCUGCGGUGGUCA